CUUGUUUUAAUUCUCAGAUUUAGAGCACCUGCUAGACGCAAAGACUCUGAGAACAUCAUGGCACGGCUGGGCGAGGCAAACACAAAUCAUUUCGAACCUUUGCAACUAUAGGUAUUGAAUGCGCCAGACUUGCCGCCUAGAGAGCUCCGGCAGAUGCCCCUGGGGCCCAGGACACCGCAAGAUAUAGCAAAGGGCACUUAAGAACACGUUCCUGAUGAAGGAGCCACACAUAGAGGGGAGGAAGAGAGAAUAAUAUGUCUUAGGAAGGAGGAAACUAAGUGGGCACGAGUUCAGGUUAUGAAUUUUGUAAAUGGGGGGGGGUCUCCGCACUUUUCACCUUGCUGCCCUUUCCAGCCAGUAAGCACUCCGUCUGCAGGUAAGCCACUUUCUGUUCAUAGACUCACAGACUUGGAAGGGACCCCAAGAGUCGUCUAAUCCAGGGGUCCCCAAACUAAGGCCCGUGGGCCGGAUAAGGCCCGAGGGACUCGUUUAUCUGGCCCGUGGUGACCCCCGCCACCCGCUGCCGCCGCCCGCUCUCACCAGUGCUGCGCUGCGCCGCUGCCCACUUCCAGGUUGGAGGAGCACCGGAAAUAGCUUGUGCUCAUGUGCAAGCGUUAUUUGCGCAUACGCAAGCGUUAUUUCCGGUGCACAUCCGGGUCAGAGGAGGCCCGUGCACAUGCGCACAAGCUAUUUCCGGUGCUCCUCCGACCCGGAAGUGUGCCAGAAAUAGCGUGUGCGCACAUGUAUGGGCACACGUUUCCCCGCCUUCCGGCCCGCCGUGCGAUCAAGGCUGGAGACACCAGCCCGAGGCACAGUAAGUUGACUGACCCCUGGUCUAAUCCAACCCCCUGUAAUUCAGGAAUCUCAGCUAAAGCGCCCAUGGCAGAUGGCCACCCGGCCUCUGCUUAGAAACCUCCAAGGAAGGUUAACCUCUGGGGGAAACGUUGGAAAAGUGACUUGAAGUUUACAGCGUGUUGUUCUUUGAAGGAGAACUUGCAAAAGGGUAAAAGAGUAUUGGGAAAUGAUCCAUAACGAAUUGAAAAAAAUGUUUUAAAGUACUUUAAAAAGAACAACCAGAGUUCUGUCUGUUGGGGAUAACUCAGACUGAAAUCCCCAGCUGUCAAAAAAAGGUUAUUUAUGUAUGCCACUACUGCGGCCCAUGUUUUGUUAGCCCAAAAUUGGAAAACGAGUGAGGUCCCAACUAAAGAAGAAUGGCAACUUAAGUUGGCAGAAUGUACACAGCUUGCAGACUUAACAUUUGGAAUGAGAGAACAGGAAGAACAUACGUUUAGAGAAGAUUGGAAAAUGUUUAUUGAAUAUAUGGGAAAUAACUGUGUACAGCUGAAAACACUGGUAGUAUUAAGAUAUGGUAAAUUCAACAGUUUUGAUGGAUGCAAUAAUGGAAUACUGAAAGGUAUGGUUUUUGUAAAACAUGCCAGGAUUUAUGAUAUGUAAAAUGAACCAUGGAAAGAGAAGAAGGGAAGUCACUGAUAACUUAAGGAGGUAAAACGAGUAUCUUAAGUUGUAAUACAGAAAACUUAAUCAAAAUUAUAUACAAAAACAAAACAAAACCCUACAAGGAAGCAGAGUCCAACACUUCCCAAGGGUUGAACAGCUCUUGCCACCCGAAAGUUCUUCCUGAUGUUGAGUCAGAAUCUCCUUUCUUGCCAUUUGAAGGUGUUGGUUUGAGUCCUGCCCUCCGGAGCGGGAGAAAACAAGCUUGCUCCAUCUUUGUUGCAAAAGUGCAGAGCAUGUUUUAAGUUGUUUUUAUAUGCAAUGACGGCAGCAAGAAUAUUAUUGGCACAAAAAUGGAAGCAAGAAGAAUUACCGACGAAAGAAGAAUGGCGGGUGAAAUUAAUGGACUAUGCAGAAUGAGAUAAAUUAACAGGAAGGAUUCAAAACCUGCGGGACCAGAGAUUCUUAGAAGACUGGAAUAAAUAUUUGAACUAUUUGAAAAGCAAUUGUAAUUAACAGAUUACGCUAGUAGGACUGCAAGAAGUUCUGUAAGGAGGACUACUCGAAAUAUUGCAAGAAAGACUAUGAAGAGAGUUAUUAGUUAAUGAUAAUUAAAAGUAAUAGAGAAAUUAAUGUUCAAUGAUUGUUGGAAAUGAUAUGUUUAAAAAACCCUAUAAAAAGCAAAAGUACAGAGCACGGGUUAUUAUUUAUGUGCAAAGUAAGUACUGUAUUUUGUAGAGAAAUAAAUAAACUGACAAAACAAGAUGGGAGUCAUAGGAUUCCAUGGGGCUGAACCAGUUCGGAGCUGGUGCAGAUUAAUAGGCAGAGGACUGACAAGUACAUUGUUCCCCACUUUUCUUCCAGCUCACAGCUGUCUCCUGCCCCUCCCUCCCCACGACCUAAGACCCUCCCCUCGCCAGCCAGGGCAGCAUCCCCUCCUCUGUCAGAUUAAUCCCAAGCAAGAAGAGGCAACAGGAUAUUGAGUUCUGGAGCCCUCAGACCACCAGGUACUUUUGCAUACUAGAAAUGUAUCAAGCUGUACAUUUGGGCUGGGCUGGGCUGGGGAGGCGCAGAGAUUUCCUUUUUCUGUAAAUGUGUUUUUAUUUCCUUGUGUAACAUAUACAAAACCGUAGAUGGAAAUCAAAAGAUGAGAGGCAAAACUAUAAAGCAGGGUAGAAUGAGUUGUGCAUGGGUCAAAUUUGGGGGAAAUGCAAGUAAAGAAUAUCGGCAUGAUUUGAUUGUCAAGCGUAAUUCCAAUUUUUCUGGGCUUGUGAUGAGGUUUGUCUUGAAAAUUAUGGUGCCUCUGCAUGUGCAAUAAAGGAAUGCCAAAUGAUAUAAAAAGUGUCCUGUCGAAAUCUCAAAUUAUGAGUCGUUUUCUCCAUUAUUGCUAUAUUCCAGAGUGGUAAGAUUCUGGGUUGUUUUCCGUUGAAUUGCAAUGACUAUUUGAGCUGCCGAGACCAUACACAAGACCAGUUCUUUUGACAAUAUAUCUGUAUUGAACUUACUCAGUAGCAUUCAUCUUGGACCACGGCGUAGAGAUUUUCUAUUGGGGAAAAGAGGCAUUUCGGUGCAAAGAGGGAAUAUUUUGGGCUCCCUUUAUUUUCCAUUCCCCACAAGAUGCUCAGCUUGCUGGGGAGAGAGACACAGAGAGAAAGAAGAGUGGGUGUAUGAAGCUUGCAAGAGAGGCAAGCUUUGGAGCUACACAGAGCAGUUUAUCACACGGGCCAGGAAAAUAGCUCCAUUCCCAGUUGUCUAUAGGCACUUUAAGAGAGCAACAACGCCGGUUAAGAAGAUGGUGCUGGGAAAUUCAGAUUCAUUAUCCUGUUGGUGCUGAUCAAUGUUUUAAUGCACUUUUAAGUGGACAUUAAACGUGUGUUGUGAUUAGGCUGUUAUCUUUCUGCCUGAAGUUAAUGAUGUCUGCAUUUAUAACCAAGGUGUCUUCCUGGGGAGCUGCUUGGAGGCAGUUUUGAACAGGGAGUUCCCCGAAAGCUCCCUCCCACUGGGUACGAUACGAUACGAUGAUAUGAUAACCUUUAUUGUCAUUGUCCCAUACAGAACAACGAAAUUGAAAAAUCUACAUCAGACAUUCAAAAACCAACAAGCCUGCUAUCCCAGCUGUCCCAACCUGGUGAGCCCCCUAAAAACUCUGAUACCCCAUUUUUAAAUACAAUAUACUCCCAUACAGACUCCUUAAAGGUAAAAGUAAAGGGACCCCUGACCAUUAGGUCCAGUCGUGGCCGACUCUGAGGUUGUGACGCUCAUCUCGCUUUAUUGGCCGAGGGAGCCGGCGUACAGCUUCCGGGUCACGUGGCCAGCAUGACUAAGCUGCUUCUGGUGAACCAGAGCAGCGCAUGGAAAUGCCGUUUACCUUCCCACCAGAGUGGUACCUAUUUAUCUACUUGUACUUUGAUGUGCUUUCAAACUGCUAGGUUGGCAGGAGCAGGGACCAAGCAACAGGAGCUCACCCUGUUGCAGGGAUUUAAACCGCCGAUCUUCUGAUCGGCAAGUCCUAGGCUCCUUAAAGGUAAAGGGACCCCUGACCAUUAGGUCCAGUCAUGGCCAACUCUGGGGUUGCGGCGCUCAUCUCGCUUUAUUGGUCGAGGGAGCCGGCAUACAGCUUCCAGGUCAUGUGGCCAGCAUGACUAAGCCGCUUCUGGUGAACCAGAGCAGCGCACGGAAACGCCGUUUACCUUCCCGCUGGAGUGGUGCCUGUUUAUCUACUUGCACUUUGAUGUGCUUUCAAACUGCUAGGUUGGCAGGAGCAGGGACCGAGCGACGGGAGCUCACCCUGUCGCGGGGAUUCAAACCACCAACCUUCUGAUCGGCAAGUCCUAGGCUCCCGCCAUCCGCAUCCUCCUAGGCUCCUUACAAUGUGUUUAAAACCAAGAUCGCAUUUGGGUAGAAACUGUUUCUCAGGCGGCUAGUCCUAGUCUUUAUAACCCUGUCCCUUCUUCCAGAAGGCAGAAGCUGAAAGAGAUCAUUUCCGGGGUGCGCACUAUCCAGCGCUAUCUCUGCAGCUUUCUUAUGGCACCUGGAAGCAUAGAUUUGAUCCAAGGUGGGAAGAGUGCACCCAAUUAUUCUCUCCGCAGUCUUUACAACCCUGGACAGCAUUGUUUUUCCCCUGACCGUGCAGCUCCCAAACCACACACAGAGACCAUAAGUCCCGUAACAACAAUCAUAGAGUUGGAAGGGACCCCACAAGUCAUCUAGUCCAAUUCCCUGCAACCUGAGAGAGUGGAGAAAGCAGGAGAAGGCCUGUCCUUCGUGGGAAGGGACCUCAUUGUUGACUCUCAGCAGGUGGAGGUAAAGAUGGCAGCACCGGUGAGGGAAAACUAGGCCACACAGCCGUUCGGCAAGACCAAGGAACCGCCCGCGUCCCCACGGUAUCCUGAAGGAGUACGACAAACACUGCUUGGAUGGCUGAGGUAAGUCCAGGAAAAUGCACCCACUUUGCUUGCCAUUUUCUUUCUCGGAGCAAAGAGCCCAAAGGCACCCCUUCUCCCUUGCAGAAACAGGGCUGCUCCAGGAUGCAAGGAACUGGCUGGACAUUUUCCCAGAGAGGAAUGUUUCAGUGCAAUUUUCGUAGCUGUUUCAGGAAGUCAGAUCGACUUGCCCAGGAAUGGCUUCGUCCUGGGUGUGUUUUUUUUGUUGUUGUUGUUAAAAACAAUAUCUAUCAAUAGCCCCCUUCUAAUCCUCCCAAGUCUAUUUUAAUAGUGCUGACCUAUUUUAAUCAGUUUAAUCAAGGGAUCCGGCGUAAGGCAGCCUAAUCUAUACAUCUGCGUGCUUUCAUCUCUUCUAAUCUCCCUGAAUAUUGGGCUUAAUGCCUCUGAUCCCUUUCAGGCACCUACCAGCCUGGUUUAAUCUCAUUUGCACAUAUGCAUAUUUUAAUCUGCCUUUUGUUCAGCAGCUGACACCCCCUCUGCUUUCCUUUUGCAUCCCCAACAAAUUUUUCUAUGGGAAUUUUCUGCUGGGUGUGAAACAGGAUGGCGAGUCUCAUUUACAUUGGGGAAAAACCUCCAGUUCUCUCUCCUGAGACUCCCCAAAUCAGGACUUUCCCAGACAGUCAGUGAAGCUAGCUUAUUCCAUUAUUCAGUUUAUUCCUUCAAUCUGAUUGAUUGAUUGAUUGAUUGAUUGAUUGUCAUUUGGAUCGAUUAAAGGGGGGGGGAUGCCCUGGAUUAACCAAGCAGCUGUUUUUUAUUUCUAUUUUCAUGGUUUCAAUUCUCAGCACAAACAAAAAUAUAUAGAUACAAACAUCGCAACCCUUACAGGAACAGUACAGAUAGCUAUGAUAGUUGACAAACUUAGCAUCUGAUUUAAAAGAAAAGAAAAGUGUGAAUUGUUUUGAAUGCAAAUGUUUGAAAGAGCUGUGAAUAGCAGUGUCUGUCUUAAAAUAAUGUGUCUUCUAAGAGGGUGCCUGUUUUUUGUUCAUAUCAGGGUCCUGCUAGAUCAAAGGUUGCAUUUUUCUUUUCACUGGGGCAGAUCGGAUGCCUCCGGGAUGCACACAAGCGGGGUCCUCCCCUGCUGUUGCACCCCUGAAACUGAAAUUCAGAGGUAAAAAGGGACCCCUGACCAUUAGGUCCAGUCGUGACCGACUCUGGGGUUGAGGCGCUCAUCUCGCUUUAUUGGCCAAGGGAGCCGGUGUACAGCUUCCGGGUCAUGUGGCCAGCAUGACUAAGCCGCUUCUGGCGAACCAGAGCAGUGCACGGAAAUGCUGUUUACCUUCCCGCAGGAGCAGUACCUAUUUAUCUACUUGCACUUUGAUGUGCUUUCGAACUGCUAGGUUGGCAGGAGCAGGGACCGAGCAAUGGGAGCUCACCCCGUCGCGGGGAUUCGAACCGCCAACCUUCUGAUCGGCAAGUGCUAGGCUCUGUGGUUUAACCCACAGCGCCACCCUCGUCCUACAGACAAUUCAGAGGUACACUGCGUCUAAACAUGGAAGUUACUCUAGCUAGCUAUCGUGGAUAACAGCCAUCAGCACACCUGUAGUCCAUGAAUUUGCCUAAUCCCCUUCAAAAGAUGCCCAUGCUAGCACCCACCACCAGUUUCAUGUGGCAGGCAGUUCUGCAAGUUAAUUUUGGGGGGGUUGUGUGUGAAGCAACCGCUUUGUCGGUCCUGAAUCUACUGCUACCAAACAGUAGAAGGGGGGGACUUCUGUGUUCAUUUUGCUGUGAAUACGUGCAGAUUUCACUGACUAAUUAAGCUGAUUACAACUGGUACAAUCAACCCACUAAGGGCGGGGAACCUUUGGCCUUUCAGUUAUUCCCGAACUACAACUCCUAUCAACCCUGGCCAUUGGCCAUGCUUUUUGGGGCUGAUGGGAGUUGUAGUUCGCCAGUGUAUGAAAGGUCAACAUCCAUUAUGACUGUGGCGAGAGAGAACUGUAGUUCACCCCUCAGAGAGUUCCAAUUCCCAGCAUCCUCAACAAACUAUAGCUCCCAGGAUUCUUGGGUGGGGGGAAGCUGUGUGCUUUAAAUGUAUGGCAUGGAUGUAUCCGAAACUGGUGUAUACUGGAGAACAGAAGUGCACAUAAAUGUCCCUCUCCACCCAGACUGUGUUGGAAGGUGAUGGUGUUCUUCACUGAGUUUUUUAAGCAGAAGGCGCGCCUUGCAGAGGAUUUCCUGUGUUGGCCAACAAGGCUAGGCCUUUGAGACCCUUCCACCUCUGUGAUUUGGCGAAAGGCUAUAUCUGCUGCCACAAGGCUGGCACCAAUCUAUUAUUUAUCUGUGCUUUGGAUACAGCCUGGGACUUAUAGGCUUUCUGCACAAAGGGCUGUGACUUGGGGGCAAAGCACUGCAGGAAUCACAGGCGCAGGUUUAUAGCUGGGGUGGGGCACUUGUGGGUCUCUGGGUGUUGCUUGGCUGCAGAACUCAUUCACCCACUGCUCCCGCCUGAAGCUCUGAGAACCGAGGCUCAGAGCGGAACGCCGGGCUGCUUGAAAGCGCUUUUGCAAAGGGCUCUCGCAAAGCCCCGCAGCUGCUGUUUUCGGAGGGUCAAUCAGGAAUGCCAAACUGCUUGGAAGCGCUUUCACCAAAGGGCUUCCUGGCAGCCUUGUCAGGCUCCUGCCUGAGCCUCCCUAGCUCAAAGAGGAAUGCUGGGCUGAGCAGGAUUUAACCCCCGUUAAUCAGCUGACAAGUAGGGAUUAAAUCUGUGAUCCUUGGGAUGCUGAGGACCAAUGCACCAGGUAUCCCCAUAAGACCAGGACGGGGAGUUUUGCAGAGUUUAGUUUCGCUUUUAACUGUCCCCAGAGGGGCUCAUCUGGCGUCUUCAUUACAUAUCUUUAGGCGCCAGGCGUAAACGUUUCUCUCUAACCAGACCUUUGGCUGAUUAACAUGCUAUGGCCUUUUAACUGUGCUUGCAGAUUGUUUCUGUUUUAUUAUGUACUUUGCAUUCUCAUUUUCUAUUAUUGUGAUACGAACCACUCUGUGACCCUAGAUGAGCAGUACACAAUUUUUAAAAUAAUAAUGUCUGCUGCCUCUUCUGAGCCAGCCUGUUUCCUGCUAGAUUCCACCCUGUCCUCAGCUGACAUCGGCUGGUGGGUGGGUGUAAUUUGGGGAGAAAUGCCUUGUGGGCCAAACGGGGUGUCCUGGAAGGCCAAGACUGGCCUUCGGAACCCUGCUCUAGACCAGAGGUUGGCAACCUAAGGCCCAUGGGCCGGAAGCAGCCCAUGAGCUGCCCCCAAACUGAGCCGCCUUCUUGGCGAGUCCCCCCACGCUGCGCUAAACCGGCACGCAGGGACUCUUCCGUGGCUCCGGAAAUCGCUUCUGUGCGUGUUAUGUACUGAGCUGAAUAGGAUCCAAAUGCAGCAGUCUGAUUGGUCCUAGAACAAUAGGAUCCAAAAUGCAGCAGUCUGAUUUGUCCUAGAACAAUGCAGCAGUAUGAUUGGUCGGCAGGAGCCACCCAAUCCAGCUCCAGGUGGAAGUGAAUCCGCAACCUGAUAGGCCUACAGGAGAAUCCAGGAAUUAGCCAAUCAGGUGCAGCCCAUUGUGUAAAUAAUGUAUAUAAAGCAGAUAUUUUGGGGGAAUUUCAUUCCUCACUACUAUGAGCUGAAUAAAGAGCAUGAAAUCCACACUCAACUCUGAGUAUUUUCAGCGCAGAAGUGAUUUCCGGCGCCACAGACAUGCGCAGAUGUGAUUUCUGGCGUCACGCUGCACUAGUCCGGCCCAUGGAAGUUCUCCGCAGGAGUGAUCCGGUUCAUGCCCAGUAAGCCUUGCCGACGCCUGCUCUAGACAUUCAAAUAGUGCACCUGAAAUUAUCAGUUAUCUGAUUUCUUACCCACCUUUUGCUUUAAGGUCCCAGAGUUACAGUCCAGAGCUUAAAACAAUUGCAAAGAAAAUCUAAAUCUUAGAUAUCCAAGUCUAGGGAGGGUAAAGAAUGUGUGCUUUCAGCAUGUGAGGGAGACUAUAUAAUGAUGCAAAACACACCACUUGGAGGAGGGAAUUCCACAAUUUAGGGGCUGCCACAAUUCUACCGUUAGAUCUUUUUAAAUUUCUGCAUUAUUCUUUUUUACUUGCUUGUACAGUGGUACUUCGGGUUAAGUACUUAAUUCAUUCUGGAGGUCCGUUCUUAACCUGAAACUGUUCUUAACCUGAAGCACCACUUUAGCUAAUGGGGCCUCCUGCUGCUGCCGUGCCGCCGGAGCACGAUUUCUGUUCUCAUCCUGAAGCAAAGUUCUUAACCCAAGGUACUAUUUCUGGGUUAGUGGAGUCUGUAACCUGAAGCGUAUGUAACCUGAGGUACCACUGUAAAUCAAUUCAGGACUUUUUAGUGACACACAACACACAAAUUUAAUUGAAAGCUGAGCCUCAGAGUCAGGGUUAUAACCAAUAUUAGUGCCCCACUGAGUAAAUCCACUUAAAAAAAUGAACAUGACUAAGGUCCGUUGAUUCCAAUGGGUUUAACUUUGAGUAGAAUUCAGGCCACAUUCGUGCUAUACAUUUAAAGCGCUAUGAUACUUUAAACUGUCAUGGCUCUCUUCCCCCCCCCCCCCCAAUAAUUCUGGGAACUGUAGUUUGUUAAGGGUGCUGAGAGCAGCUUGGAGACCCCUCAUUCCCCUCACAGAGCUACAGUUCCCAGAGUCCCUUAGGAAGAGGGGUUGAUCGUUAAACCACUUUGCUAAUUGCAGCUCUAGGAGGGGAAGAGGCCCCCCAACAAACUACAGCGCCUUUAACAAACUACAGCUCCCGGAAUUCUGUAUGGUGUGAUUGUGACCCUGUUGUUGUUGUUUAGUCGUUUAGUCGUGUCCGACUCUUCGUGACCCAUGGACCAGAGCACGCCAGGCACUCCUGUCUUCCACUGCCUCCCGCAGUUUGGUCAAAAUCAUGCUGGUAGCUUCGAGAACACUGUCCCACCACCUCGACCUCUGUCGUCCCCUUCUCCUUGUGCCCUCCAUCUUUCCCAACAUCAGGGUCUUUUCCAGGGAGUCUUCUCUUCUCAUGAGGUGGCCAAAGUACUGGAGUCUCAGCUUCAGGGUCUGUCCUUCCAGUGAGCACUCAGGGCUGAUUUCCUUCAGAAUGGAGAGGUUUGAUCUUCUUGCAGUCCAUGGGACUCUCAAGAGUCUCCUCCAGCACCAGAAUUCAAAAGCAUCGUUUUAGCAAAUCUCUCUUCCUUACAAGGAAAGAGAUUAGGCCCAAUUAGCCAGUAACAGGUGAAAGCCACAAGGUGGCAGCCGUUGUUCAGGAAGGGGCUUGAGAUACUGCCAGAAAACUGGGCAAAACGCCAACUCUGGGUACUUUGGACAAAAGGGAACUUUGCCUUUUGCUGUGAAUUUGCUGCUUCUGCAUCAGUGGAGAGGCAGGCUCCCCCAGGGAGAAGGGGUUGGUCAAGGGUGCUGUCCUGAGAGGACCAGGGAUGCAACAGAGAGGGCGUCUCCAGGCUGCAUUUUGCAUGGAGAGAUUCAGACACAUUUCCGGAAACUCGGGUUUGCACAAUUAAGAUGGAUUUAAGGGCUCUGUCCCCCUAGUGCCACAAAUCCUCUUAAAAAGAGAGAGGGCUUCUUGCAGUGAUGGGAACAUAUGUUGGAAAGUGUGGGGGGAACAAAUGAUGGAUGGGAAUACAUAUAAAUAUACCGCAAACAGAUCAGAAGCAACACUCAGUAAAAACCGGGAAUAGCCUGACAGCUGUGUAAGCUUUGUGCAAGAAAAAAACAGGAGGAAUGGGGUAUAAACAGGUCGUCUGGAUGAGCCCAGAGAUUUUCUCUUUUCCUCAGAGCACAGAUCUUUACCCCCUUGUACUCUGGGGAAACCCAGCCAGAUGAGCGGGGUACAAAUAUUAUUAUUAUUAUUAUUAUUAUUAUUAUUAUUAUUAUUAUUUUUAUUUUUAUUAUGCAACAAUGCACCUUUCAUGCCACUAAAUGCUUAGUAAAAUCAUGAUUAUUCCUUAUAAUUCUGAUGUUUAGGCUAUGAGUGCCAUUGUUUCUGAAGCCCAAACAAUACCACACACACACAAAAACCCAGGCAGUACCAUCAUGUUUAGGGAGAACCGCAAAUUUGCAGAAGGACAACAGAAAAUCUUUAGGGGGGAGGACUAAAGAGGAAGUAAUCCCUAAAAAGAAAAACUCAGGGAGGACUGGGCGGACUUUGUGGCCACUAAUAACCAAAUGUCUGCUGGGAAAUGAAGCAAAAAGAAAACCAGGGGAAGAGUGAAUGGAAUGGUGUUUCCAGGGCAGGGCGGUGGAGCUCAGCUGGUUGGAGGACAGAGCUGGAGCACUUCAUGCUGCAACAUUUUAUUGCAGCUCGCAGUUUGGUUUUAUUUAAGGGAUCUUGCAGCACCAGACCAAAAGGCUCCUCUAGCUCUAGCACAGUGAUUUAGCAAAACGCCUUCUCUCUUGGCUUGCCUCCAGCAACUGGCAUUCAUUCGCAUGUACAGUGGUACCUCGGGUUAAGUACUUAAUUCGUUCCGGAGGUCCGUUCUUAACCUGAAACUGUUCUUAACCUGAAGCACCACUUUAGCUAAUGGGGACUCCCACUGCUGUCGUGCUGCUGCCGGAGCACGAUUUCUGUUCUCAUCCUGAAGCAAAGUUCUUAACCUGAAGCACUAUUUCUGGGUUAGUGGAGUCUGUAACCCGAAGCAUAUGUAACCUGAAGCGUAUGUAACCUGAGGUACCCCUGUACCCUGCAAGCCUUUAUAUCAUAUACCAUUCUGGCAAAUAGCCCCUGACACAUACGGAGACACAUGGAACGCAAUAGCUGUUUGAUAGCCUUUAUUCUACAUUUCGGGGGCUGUGCUGAUAUACAGAGCGGGGGGGAAGCGUCCUCCACUGCCUUUCAGGUGUGGAGCUGGGGGUACACGUGUGAUUCGAGGAUGGGGGGCGUCUGAUCUUCAAAAGGAGUUACUCCUCGUUCAGACCUUUCUGCAAGGGGACAGGGAGAGAGGAAGAAGGAGUCAGCGGAGAAAUGCAGAUAUCAGGUGGGAGGGGGGAAGAAACUGAAAUUAUAGGAGUUGGAGAGGAGCGAUAAGGCACCAGAGGUUUCUCACCUUUGCCCCAAUAUCACGGCUCUUGGCCCUCAACUUGUUGACUUGGGACUCGGCGAUGUCCGCCCGCUCCUCGGCCUCAUCCAGCUCGUGCUGAACCUUCCGGAACUUGGCCAGGUUGCUGUUGGCCUGCUCCUCCUGCAUUAGUGGGGCAGAGAAAGAGAUGGGGUGAAAUCACAAUGGGGUGGUGUAUUAAAGCUAGUUCGUCCCACCAGGGGGCAUCGAACAAAGCCGAAUGUUGGGAGAUGCGAGGCAAAACGAAAGAACCUUCUUCGCACAGUGCAGACUGCGGAACUCCCUGCCACAAGGGGUUAGCAGCGGCCAACAACUUGGAUGGCUUUAGAAGAGAACUGGAAAAUUCACGGAGGGUAAGGCUGUCUGCGUCUACCGGAGACGAAAGGCUUAGGUACUACCUCUGCUGUCACAGACAGUAUUGCCAGCUGCUGGAAUCGCAGGUAGGGAGAAACCCUGUCCCUGCAGGUUGCCGGAUGAGGAGAAAGAGGGAGGGAAAGGGAUGGAAGGGGAGGCCCCGCCCCAUUUUUCUCCAGCUCCGCCCACUGUUGUCAUAGCCCCGCCCACUGCCAAUCUGCAGCCCCUGAUGCAUUAUCCUCAAGGGAAUUCAGCCCUCAACGGGGAAAUAAAAAUGUUGCCUACCCUGGCCCUACAAUAAAGACCCUUGGAUGAGCCUCGCUCCUCCUAUCUGUCAGAACUUUGAGACAGACAUCAAAGGAGGAGCAGGGCCUUAUCGGCAUGGGCGCCCCUAGAAUGGGAUUUCCUCCUCUGGAAAGAUUGUUAAAAACCACCUCUGUCCUGACCAACUAACAGAAACAAAACAAAAACCUCUUUCCUUUUUUUCCUUUUCUCCCCCCAGCAGGCAUUAAAGCAGGUGACGGUUGAUUUUAACAGUCUGGCUGUUUUUAAUCUUGUCAUUUUACAUCCUGCUGACAUGUGGUUUUAUUUGAUUUUACGCCGCUUACAAGUUCUGAUUCUAAUGGAAUUGGAUAUUGGAUUUUCAUUUGCUUCUGUUGUCAUUUUUUUCCGUUCGGCUGCCCUGUCGGCGGGGACGGGGUGGGGAGAGGCGUAAACAAGAAAUAAGAUAAUACUUCUGAGUGCGUGUAGCGCGAGGGGGGAAUCUGGGGAAGAUGGAAGUGCUCUCGGCGGUCGCCCACAGUGACCGCAAAAUGCUCACCCGCAGGCCCAUUUAUUGAGGAACGUAAAUGGGGAUAAUGACGGGGAAUGGAGAAGCGAGGAGUGGAUGCAGAGCUUAGUGGUUAGAGCACCUGCCUUGUGCUCAGGGUUCAAUCCUCAGCAUCUCUGGGUGGGCUGGCAGAGACGCUUGUCUGAAACCCUUGAGAGCUGCUGCCAGAAAUGGCAGGCAUUACUGAUCUCAAUACCAGUAUAAGACAGUUUUCUGUGUUCCUAGGUGGGCCAUGUAGGAGGGAGGUCAUGACGAGUUCUCCCAGGUGUCAAGGAGGCAGAGGGAGCCUAGGAGAGUGUUCCUCAGCCUUGAGUCCCCCAGAUGUUGCUUUGACGACAUCUUCCAUCAUCACUGACCGUCGGCUAAACUGGCUAGGGCUGAUGGGAGUUGUAGUCCACCACCGUCUGGGGACGACGACCCAGGGCUGAAGGACGCUAGCCCCGAAGGUUGCAUGCUUACCGCUUCUUCAGCCUGCCUCUUGUAAGCCUUGACUUUCAACUGGAGUUUAUCCACCAGAUCUUGGAGACGGACGAGGUUUUUCCGGUCCUCCUCCGUCUACAACACAAAAUGAAAGAAAGGAGAGACAGGCAGGUUAUUUAGCAUCCACACAGCUGAAGAAGGAAACUGACACGCUGUGCUUGGGUUUACAGAUUUGCCACCUCCCAUGUAGUAUUUGCAGGACUGCAAAUGGUCCACGGAGGCUGGAUUAGAAGGAACAAACUUUACCCAGCAGCCGUAGACGGCUACCAAACUAUUCAAAAACUGAAACAAGGUUUUCUUAGGUUUUCAAAAACCGAAACAGGCCUUCUUAGUUUCCUUUCCCUGCUGGGCUCACCCAGAACUGAUUCUUCCCCCAUACAUCCAUUCCUAAAUGACUUUCGUUCCUGCUCGCAUUGCAUCCUAGAGCUGGCCUUACCAUUAGGCAGCAAUGAGCAUUUGCCUCAGGUGGCAGAUACGAUAAUCUUUAUUGUCAUUGCCCCAUACAGAACAACAAAAUCGAAAAAAUCUACAUCAGACAUUCAAAAACUAACAAGCCUGCUAUCCCAGCUAUCCCAGCCUGGUUAGCCCCCUAAAAACUCUGAUACCCCAUAAUUAAAUACAAUAUACAGUGGUACCUCGGGUUACAUACACUUCAGGUUACAUACGCUUCAGGUUACAGACUCCGCUAACCCAGAAAUAGUAUCUCGGGUUAAGAACUUUGCUUCAGGAUGAGAACAGAAAUCGUGCUCCGGCGGUGCGGCAGCAGCAGGAGGCCCCAUUAGCUAAAAUGGUGCUUCAGGUUAAGAACAGACCACUGGAACGAAUUAAGUACUUAACCCGAGGUACCACUGUACUCCCAUAGAGACUACCUUACACUGCAUUUAAAACCAAAAUCACAUUUGAAUAGAAGAUGCUGGCAGCGGUGGCAGUAAGUCAGCAGCCAUACCCCCGGAGAACCCAAAGCUAGCUCACUCCCUAAGCAAGUUUGCUGCUCCCAAAUGUGGAAUGCGAGGCUGCCAUCUUCCCCUUUGUCACUGGGCAGUCCUGCCUUCCCCUGUCACAGCUGUGAGUCUUAAUUCCUUCUGGACUGUGCUAGACUUAAAAGAUGAUGGACAUGUUUUGAAGCUCCACUGACAGCCAUCGCAUCAGAACUCUGAAUUCCUAAUAGAGAUAUCAGUAUUUUGAUCUCCACACUGUGUGUGGUUGUAUCUGGUGAGGGGGCACUAUUGAGUUCUCUGUUCCAGAGACAUUUUUCCUCUUUAGAAUUUACUCAAAAAACCAUGCUUGGUUCCAGAAGCCGUUCCUAAACAGAUCCACCUGUCUCCUGCAACAUCUGGCUGACCUAAUAAGUUACAUGUAUUAAUUCAUGUCAGGUGUACAUUUUCAGUGCAACACACCUGCAUUUUCAUUUUCAGGAGAAGAUAUUACAGUGGUACCUCAGGUUACAUACGCUUCAGGUUACAGACUCCGCUAACCCAGAAAUACUACCUCGGGUUAAGAACUUUCCUUCAGGAUGAG